CCUACGGGAGGCUGCAGUGAGGAAUAUUGGUCAAUGGGCGCGAGCCUGAACCAGCCAAGUAGCGUGAAGGAUGACUGCCCUACGGGUUGUAAACUUCUUUUAUAAAGGAAUAAAGUGAGGCACGUGUGCCUUUUUGUAUUUACUUUAUGAAUAAGGAUCGGCUAACUCCGUUCCAGCAGCCGCGGUAAUACGGAGGGUCCGAGCGUUAUCCGGAUUUAUUUGGUUUAAAGGGAGCGUAGGUGGGUUGUUAAGUCAGUUGUGAAAGUUUGCGGCUCAACCGUAAAAUUGCAAUUGAUACUGGCAGUCUUGAGGACAGUUGAGGUAGGCGGAAUUCGUGGUGUAGCGGUGAAAUGCUUAGAUAUCACGAAGAACUCCGAUUGCGAAGGCAGCUUACUAAACUGCCACUGACAUUGAUGCUCGAAAGUGUGGGUAUCAAACAGGAUUAGAUACCCGAGUAGUC
rnacentral:rRNA from 1 species